UCUUCGCGGCCGCUGUGGCCCGCUGGAGGCUGGGCCUGGGUGAGCGUCGGGGACGCGGACCUCACACACUCACCCUGGCCACCCUUCCCCGGCCGCUGACCACUGACCGGCCUCCUCGCCAGCAGCCUUCGCCACCAGUAAAGAUGCUCAGCUGGCUAAGCUAGUGAGCAGGUGGAAAACAGCGUGUGAGCUGAACUCCAGCAAAGGGGCGCUGGCUGAAACAUCCUUAAGCCCACGUCCAACAACACACUUCCUCAUGCAAGGCUCCACCUCCCAACUUUUCAUCAGCUGGGGAUCAAGUAUCCACAACACAUGCGGGGACAUAAGCCACAGCUGAAGCCUUGGAGCUGCUGCUGGCGCUGCAUGGCUCAGCGUGCUGAGAGCGGAGGUGGUUCUCGCUCUUGCCAUGGCCACAUGGGACAGGAUUCUGUGGAAGCAGCCGGCUCCCUUUGCUGCAGCCCAACUACUUUCUGCUGCGCUUUCUCCCGGUUCUCUGAUCUAUCUUGGAAGUUGUCCACUUACCCAGAGAAUAGACUUCAAUGGUUUCCCUUGAUGCAGCUGUCACUGUAAUACAAUGCCAAGCCUCCUUGGGACCUGCUCCUGCCAGCCACCUUUGAUUUGAAGACCAUGUCAGCAUAUUUGUGUGUUGGAUGUGCAGCUGCUCUCCGAAGGGAAGAAGUGCUGUGGGGUUACUCCCGUGCUGAAGACGUCCUCUCCACGAGAGGUGAGCUGCGCUAAUGAGGACACACUCUGUCAGCUGUAACCUUUGAUCAACUUGGACUGAGCAUGAUACACAUAGAGACUGGGAGAGAAAGUUCCCCCAUCGA